rnacentral:lncRNA from 1 species
CAUGCUCAUGGCUUAUGAGGCCAAGUCAAAUUAUGCAAGCACAUUUGAUUUCUACUGAGAGCAAGUGUACAUAUCCACCCAGGUUCCAUUGACCAAGCUCAACACUCAACCUCUCUCACAGCAGGAAGUGCUGAGUUUCAGAGUAGGGGAAAGCAAAUGGAUAUUUGCUGAAAAGAAUAUAGUCUACCACAGCCUGCUACCUUGGUCUUAAAUAUUAAUUUCCCUUCUGCAUGUAAAAGAUGCGCCUUUCCCCAAAGAUGGUAAGCCAACAAUGUCACCCAGGCAUACCAGUUUCAAAGAG